rnacentral:lncRNA from 1 species
CAAAAGAGAAACAAAAUGUUUUGACUGAAACACAAGGAGUACUAGAAGUUAUGCUGGUUAAAUACCUAUCAGCUGGAUAAUUGAGUUCAAUGGUCCUUAAAUUCUUACUUCAGAGAAGUGUGACAGGCAUUCUUCCAGAUACUUGAAAACCAGCUAGCAGUUUGCUGGAGUCUAUAAAACCACACCACAGGCUUUUGUACAUGCAAAGGAAAAAAGGAAUGCCAUAUAUGAUUCUCUUUUCUCCAGUGCUGCUGACCACUUGAGGGUAAGUGAGAAUGAAUGGGUUAUUUUUGUAGUUCAGAGACUCUCAUCUUCUUCCUGGUGGCUGAAGAAGUGUUGCCAUUUUAAGUUUCCCAAGAAGUUAGUCAUCCUCACUCUCGAAUGAUGAUUGCUAACAUUCACU